CAAGGAAAACGCACGCACAACCCGAAUUGAUAUCAAUUGGGGGUGAGAAGAACAGAAGUGACGGAGGGUCCCCGGGUGCUCCGAGAGCCGUGAAGAAGAAGAAGAAGAAGAAGCAGAAGAAAGGGAGUGAAGGAUGGAAUUGAAGU
ensembl:ncRNA F32B5.13 ncRNA